rnacentral:rRNA from 1 species
AUGCUUCUUCGGGAGCAGAGACCGGCGCACGGGUGCGUAACGCGUAUGCAAUCUACCUUUCACAGAGGGAUAGCCCAGAGAAAUUUGGAUUAAUACCUCAUAGUAUAGCAGUUUCGCAUGAAACCACUAUUAAAGUCACAACGGUGAAAGAUGAGCAUGCGUCCCAUUAGCUAGUUGGUAAGGUAACGGCUUACCAAGGCAACGAUGGGUAGGGGUCCUGAGAGGGAGAUCCCCCACACUGGUACUGAGACACGGACCAGACUCCUACGGGAGGCAGCAGUGAGGAAUAUUGGACAAUGGGCGCAAGCCUGAUCCAGCCAUGCCGCGUGCAGGAUGACGGUCCUAUGGAUUGUAAACUGCUUUUAUACGAGAAGAAACCCUCCGACGUGUCGGAGCUUGACGGUAUCGUAAGAAUAAGGAUCGGCUAACUCCGUGCCAGCAGCCGCGGUAAUACGGAGGAUCCAAGCGUUAUCCGGAAUCAUUGGGUUUAAAGGGUCCGUAGGCGGUCAGGUAAGUCAGUGGUGAAAGCCCAUCGCUCAACGGUGGAACGGCCAUUGAUACUGUCUGACUUGAAUUAUUAGGAAGUAACUAGAAUAUGUAGUGUAGCGGUGAAAUGCUUAGAGAUUACAUGGAAUACCAAUUGCGAAGGCAGGUUACUACUAAUGGAUUGACGCUGAUGGACGAAAGCG